rnacentral:lncRNA from 1 species
GAGGCCAGCUCACCCAAGUACAUGAACAGAAGGAACACUUUCGCUGUCUCAGAACCUGGGAAAGAAAACCAUUCUACUGACUUCGAAGGCAUUCCCCAUGAGGUUGAGCGUCUGCAGGGUCUCACACUGCAUAAAAGCAUAACAAAGCUCCUCAUUACUGGCAUCAGUUAUUUCACAGGCUUCCAACCUAUAACAAAAAGGAACAGUUCUAUAUCAGGGUGAGAAGUAUGUGGGAGGUGACUUAGUUAUUUAGAUUAUGCUCACUCCGUAGCCUCUGUGGACAGUCUCUCAAACACCAAGUGUUCACAACAAUAAAUUUUCCUUUCAUUGGCAGAUGUGACCACAAUAGUUUAUUCUUAGUGUCCGUGUCUGUGGUGAACUAAUAGUUCCACUAAUAAUCUGCUGUCCCAGCCCUUGAACAUGGGAUAAAAUUGGCCCUUGCACUGGGUAAUACAGUGAAACAAAGGUUGGGAAGAUCUAAGCCUACACCUCAAGUUCCUUGAAACCUUUUGAUUUGAAACACUGAGAUUUAUUCUGCUAUGAACUAAACUACAUACAAUCAAAAUUCAUGUGUUGAAGUUCUAAUCCCUAGUGUCCUGUGGGACUGAGUUUUGAGAUAGAGUCUUUAUAGAGAUAACUAAGUUAAAAUGAGAACUAUCAGGUGGGAUCUAAUCUUGUAUAACUGUGACGAUACAGGGAGAAGAUAACCAUUUUCACAUCAUUGGAAAAGUCUGGAAUAUACUCCUUGUAUUGUUCCUCUAAAGGAGCCAUCCCUGUUGAUGCGUAAUCUCUCUAGCCUCUGAAAUUGUUUAUCAAUAAAUCCAUACUAUAUGAUCCACUCAAUCUAUUUUUGACAGCCAAAGCAUUGUCAUAUACCUUAGUCUAAAUAUGUCAAUGAGAUGUGGUCUCAUCACUCCUGUUAUCUCCACUGGACAUUCAUCCAUGCAUGCAUCCAACUAUCUAUGCAUGCAUCCAGUAUCCAUAUAUGUUCCCAUCCUAAUAAGAGCUAUCUAUCUAUGCGGGCUGCCAUACAUGAAGACAUGUGUACAUCUAUACUUGCAACCAUCAAUCACCUACCUGCUAUAUAUUCCCCUUGGAAUUUUAUUUUUAUUUUAUGUGCAUUGGUCUUUCGCCUACAUGUAUGUCUGUAUGAAGGAAGUGGGUCCCCUGAAACUGUAGUCACAGUUGUGAACUGCCAUGUGGUUGCAAGGAAUUGAACCUGGGUCCUAUGGAAGAGCAGCCAAUGCUCUUAACUACGGAGCCUUUCUCCUUCCCCCAUGGAGUUUUAAUUUACUUUUCUGUACAUUAAUCACCCCCUUUUUUGCCAUCCUCAAAGACACAGUAGAUCCUUUAAGUGGCAGUUAGGAUGUUUUAUAGCAUCACACAGCAGCAUCACACCAGUGUCUUUUAGCUUAUUGUAUGAAACAUGUAGGUACUUCAGGUUCUGGUUGUUCUUCAGGACUUCAGCCAGAUCCUGGCAGCCCCUUUCGGUGAUUCCACAACAGCUCAAACUUCAAGAGACAAAUCACAAUACAGUGGUUACUCUCUAGUCUGAAGAGGGAGCAUUUCACAAAGCUCAGUGAUGCCUUAAAAGUGAAGGCAGCAUUCAGUGAUUCAGAAAACACCAUCUUCUCAGUGAUCCAUAGACAACAAAAACUGAGUAUACCAGACAUACUCAGAUAUUUAUAAUAUCAACUACAAUAUACUGAAGUUAAAACAGGGGGCUGGAGAGGUGGCUCAGAGUUUAAGAGUACACUUUUCCUGCAGAA